rnacentral:rRNA from 1 species
GACGAGUGGCGGACGGGUGAGUAAUGCUUGGGAACUUGCCUUUGCGAGGGGGAUAACAGUUGGAAACGACUGCUAAUACCGCAUAAUGUCUUCGGACCAAACGGGGCUUCGGCUCCGGCGCAAAGAGAGGCCCAAGUGAGAUUAGCUAGUUGGUAAGGUAACGGCUUACCAAGGCGACGAUCUCUAGCUGUUCUGAGAGGAAGAUCAGCCACACUGGGACUGAGACACGGCCCAGACUCCUACGGGAGGCAGCAGUGGGGAAUAUUGCACAAUGGGGGAAACCCUGAUGCAGCCAUGCCGCGUGUGUGAAGAAGGCCUUCGGGUUGUAAAGCACUUUCAGUUGUGAGGAAAAGUUAGUAGUUAAUACCUGCUAGCCGUGACGUUAACAACAGAAGAAGCACCGGCUAACUCCGUGCCAGCAGCCGCGGUAAUACGGAGGGUGCGAGCGUUAAUCGGAAUUACUGGGCGUAAAGCGCACGCAGGCGGUUUGUUAAGCUAGAU